rnacentral:rRNA from 1 species
GACGAACGCUGGCGGCGUGCCUAAUACAUGCAAGUCGAGCGGAAGUUGGAGAGCUUGCUCUUCAACUUUAGCGGCGGACGGGUGAGUAACACGUGGGCAACCUGCCCUGCAGAUCGGGAUAACUCCGGGAAACCGGUGCUAAUACCGAAUAGUUUUCGCCACCUCCUGGUGGCGUACGGAAAGACGGUUUCGGCUGUCACUGCAGGAUGGUCCCGCGGCGCAUUAGCUAGUUGGUGGGGUAACGGCCCACCAAGGCGACGAUGCGUAGCCGACCUGAGAGGGUGAUCGGCCACACUGGGACUGAGACACGGCCCAGACUCCUACGGGAGGCAGCAGUAGGGAAUCUUCCGCAAUGGACGAAAGUCUGACGGAGCAACGCCGCGUGAGUGACGAAGGUUUUCGGAUCGUAAAACUCUGUUGUGAGGGAAGAACAAGAACCAACUAACUACUGGUACCUUGACGGUACCUCACCAGAAAGCCACGGCUAACUACGUGCCAGCCGCCGCGGUAAUAC